rnacentral:lncRNA from 1 species
UUUUUUUUUUUCCUUUGGUCCGUUCUUCAGAGGGAAUCAUGGGGAAGCAAGAAACAUGCCAUCAUUGUGGGGUCACAAGUGAGCUCCUGUUCUUAAAUAAGCUAGAAUUUUUCUCAUUUGUUUUCUUUUGUCUUGUUUGCACCCCUUUUUCCCCCUUGUUCCUCAGGAAUUAGUACUUUUCGGGUGAUGAUUUGCCCCAAUUAUGCAUCUGGGAACCAGGCCUUAGACGAAAUCUUUGAACUCCAUGGGACUUGGAUUCAUCUUUCUGUGUUCGUUGGUGACUAUUUUUUUCUAGAAUACGCAGGAGAGCUGCGUAUCAUUCGAUUAAGAGGAAAGGAAAUAGCCUUUUCUUACAACGCGGGUCAUUACCGGGCUCACGCACACGGGUUUUGAAAAAAGUCAAUUACUUUAGGAAACCUCCACAUCCAAUAUUUAUCGGGCGGUGUAGCUAUUCUAAACCAUUUCCUAGGAUCUAGAUGCCAUUUGCGGUGGAGCCGAACGUCCAUCCCGUCGUCGCCAAGCAUCUGGCACCUGCCGCCAGCCAAUUUGCCACUUCUUCUUGUAUGGCAAUUAGCAGCUCCUGUGGUGAUCUCUCCCUGGCCGUGGCAAAUGUCCUACCGUUUCUCUCUUUCCAAACCGCCCAUGAACACAUCAUAACGGUGGAAUCAAGUCCCUUGGCCCUUUUGUUAGAUUGAUCUCCUUCCCAAUGGGCCCAAAGGCCCAUCGGGACCCUGAUCCGCGCCCUGAUCGGGGGCGCUCACCCUAGCAAUGGGUGGUGGGCCCCUGUCGCGCUGCGCUAUAUAAACAGGGUGGGGGACCCGGCUCGGCUCACGAGGUUCGCCGCAGCCAGCCGCCCCACCGACACACCUACCGAUCUAGGUUUGCGCAGUAGCGGCGGGAAGCACCACCGCCACCUCACCGGCGACCGGACUCGGCACUGCGCGUCGCUGCCUUGCGCAGACUCCACCAAGCGAACCCGCGAUGGCCAGCAGCUCUGCUGCUCCCACCUCUAGGGGUGAAGGUACCCCUAUCUCUCUCUCUCACUCUCGGCACACACACACCAGGAACACUAUGACCCUCCUGUCUUUUAUGAUCCCGACUAGAUGUGCAUCUAGAGAUCUUAGGCACGGCCCUAACACCUUUGUCUUGGCAGCCUGCUUCUUUUCAUUGACCACCAUUCAAGCAAAGAUGUAUGUCCUGCCGUUAGUAUUAUUGGAAAGUUGAGCUGCAGGUCUAAUUGAGCCCAAAUUUGUUGGGUGUAGCUGCACUGCACAAAUAGAUGAGUGGUGGAUUCGAUCAUCUGGCCACACAAGGUAUCUGAGUUUUGAAGGCCAUGCCGUUUGCGCCGUUCUGCCGUCCAUAGCCUAUUCCGAACCGCCAGCCAGGUAAAGAACUUGACCUUCAGGGGAGCCCAGGUCCCCCAUAUGAACUUGUAUUCUGGCCAAUUUAUCCAUCCAAUGAAGUAAGCUUGGUAUGCGGAGCUCGCAAAGUAAACGCCGGAGCUCUUCCAGCGCCAAGUCACAUGAUCUGCUAUGCCUGGCUGCAACUGGACGUUGGCAAGUGCAUGCCAAAGAUGUACAUUUUGUGAUAAUGCAUUUACUGUAGCUCGUCCGACAACAUCCCUUAUCCAUCUUUUAUCAGUGAGAGCCUCUGCGACAGUUCGUUCUCUUCUUACUCGCGGUUUCACCAUGUGGCAAAGGUCUAGAUCCAGUGUACAUGGUGAGAGAUCAUUGAGCCAGGCGUCGCUCUAGAAGAGUGCCCGAUGUCCAUCUCCCAGUUGCACCCGUAUGGAUAAUUGGAACAUCUUGCGUAGGGCAUCAUCUUUGUCAAAACCUGCUGAGAGGUAUUUCCAUGGUCGAGCAUCAUCUGUUCUCGCGAACCACAGCCAACGUAAUUUGAGUGCCAUAGAUGCAGCUUUAAGGUCUGCAAUACCCAGACCGCCCCCAAGUUAAACGGUCUGCAGGCAGUUGGCCAUGCAACAGCACAUGUUCCCCCUUUUGCAUUUUCUUUUCCAGCCCAGAGGAAGCCUUUUAUUCUCUUGUCAAUCUGUUGGAGGACCCAAUCUGGCACAUCUAAGGAGAGAAUGGUGUGGGUGCAAACUGCUGUCAUAACCGCUUUAACCAUAGUUAGUCUGCCCCCUUUGUUCAUCAAAUGUGCUUUCCAGGUCGGUAUCUUGCUGGCCACUCUGUCAAUCAGGUACUGGAAAUGUGCCCUCCUCAAUCUUGUGAUAGAAAGUGGCAGACCCAGGUAUUGUAUUGGGAAGCUAGUAACUUGUGCAGGGAAAAGACUAGUGACUCUAUUAAUCUGUGCCUCAAAACAUGAUAUCGGUGCAAUGACACUCUUCUGGAAGUUGAUUUCCAAUCCAGAUGCACAGCCGAAGAAGGUGAGGAUCUCUUUUAUCGUGAUCAUGUCCUGAGCUGUUGGUGCUGCAAAUAUUACCACAUCAUCGGCAUAUAGAGAGCACUGAUGGUGGAUGCCCCUGUCAGCCGGUGGGGAAAGAACUCCUUGCUGAACGGCAUACCUGAGGAGUCUAUGCAGCACAUCCAUCACGAGAAUGAACAGCAUGGGGGAUAGGGGGUCGUCCUGCCGUACCCCUCGUGCAUUGUGAAUUGUUCUUCCCGGUGUGCCAUUUAGAAGAACUCUUGUCGACGCCGUGGACAAGAGUAUAGAAAUCCAGUCCCGCCAUUUUUCUCCAAACCCCCUCGCCUGGAGCACCUGAAUCAGGAACGGCCAGCACACUGUAUCAAACGCUUUUGAUAUGUCCAAUUUGAUUAGGAGGCUUGGUUUCUUUUUCCCGUACAAAGUCUUGGCCGCCAGUUCAACAAAUUUGAAACUGUCAUGUAUGGAGCGCUUUUUUACAAAUGCACUUUGGUUAACAUCCACAAGUCUGUGCAGUUCUGGUGCUAGUCUGUUAGACAGCAACUUGGCCAGCAUCUUAGCAAAGCUGUGCACCAGACUUAUGGGUCUGUAGUCCGCCGGCGAGGUGGCAUCUUGCCGUUUGGGUAUGGGGGUAAUUAGCGCUGUAUUGAGACGACCAAAUUGUGCACAUGUCCUCCUGUGAAAUGCGUUGAAGGAGGCUAUUAUGUCAGCCUUGAUAAUUGGCCAGGCUGCUCUGUAAAAUUCAGAUGUGAAUCCAUCUGGCCCAGGUGCCCGUUCAUUUGGCAGUUCUUUGAUUGUGUCCCAUAUCUCCUUUUCCGAGAACGGUGCAUCCAGAUGGGUGAGCUCGAACUGCUGGAUGCCAAUGGUUGGCAUGUCCACAGCUGCGGUUCUAGAUGACGGUGUACCUAAAAUAGCAGCGAAGUAUCUGUGGAGGAUGUGCUCCUUGUCCUCAUGCGCAAGCGCAACUUCACCAUCCAGUUGCAGGGUGGAGAUGUAUUUCUUCUUUGUACGGUAGCUGGCAUGGGUGUGGAACAGCUUCGUGUUAGCAUCUCCAUCACGCAGAAAGAGUAACCUCGAUCGCUGCUGUGCCAUGGUUCUCUCAAAGGAAGCCAAUCCAAGUACUUUGCAUUUUAACUGUUUCCUCAGGAUCCCCUCCUCGGUAGUGAUUGUCCUGCAGUCCUGCGCCUGGUCAAGCCAAAGGACCAAGGCCUUAGCCAUCAGUAGUUGCGACCUGAUGUCGCCUACCUUCUUGCUGCUCCAGCUUUGCAGUGCUCUCGCCGUUGCUUUGAGCCAUUUAUCGUUGGUGACUAUUAUUACUAUGAAUUCACUGAAGUGAUAUGGCUGUUAGAGAAAUAUAUAUGUGGACAUGGUUCAUAUUUCAGAAGCCUUUGCCCGUAAAUUCUGAACAUUAUGAACAUAUUAUAACAUGCUCACGGAACACAUUUGGACUUGUGCUUGACUACGGUGGAUAUGCACUUCUUAGAUAACUUCCGCAGAUAAUGAGAGAUUAGAUGGUUUCUUUCAAAAAAAAAAAUUCUCAGAGCAUGUUGCACUAGAUAAGCCGAUGCUCUUCAAUGCAUGUGGCUUCGAGAUGGAAAACGAAGGGUUCAUCGGCAAACCACACCCCGAUGCAUCACAAGGAUACGAUGAAUUGGUUAAUUUAUGUUCUUAAAUUUAGCACUAAUUCACAUCUUAUUCAAGCUUCAAACGUGGUCACAUUUUUUAUCUAAAAGGUGUUGGUUACUGAUUUUUUUAUAUUUAGAAUUAGAAAUUGGCACGUGCAUCUAUGCUAGUUUCAAUAAUUAUUCAAAAAUAAAAUAAUAAAGAGGAUAUGCUGGAGCACUAUUUUUUCACUACCUCUCUCAAUAUAUUAGUUGGAUCGAAGAAUGUGCAUAUGCUCUAAGUUUGUGGGUCUGAUUAGGUAGGUCUUGUUUGGAAGACUUGCAAAUUAUUUCACCUGAUCCCGUAUGUAAUUUCUCGUGCACAAGAAAACAACUGUAACAUGAUUCCCCUAUGCAAAAAUGAUGAUUGGAUAAAUUUUGAAGAAAAAGAAUAAGAAACAAACCAUUGAAGAACAAGUGGUGGUGAUAGCGAGGGAGACGGGGAGGAGAGAAAUUGAUCGACGCACUCGACUUCUGUCAGAAAAUAACUGUGGCCUGGCAAUUCUUUUUUUUAAAAAAAAACUGGGUGUGAAGGGCUCUUAUACCGGCGUGAUAUAAGUUUUUUUUUCCCACCCGGAUAAUUUUCCGAGCCGAUAACUUACCACCAGUUUUAGGUUCCAGCAUCCCAAACAGGAUCGAUUUGUAAAUUGUAACACGUAUAGUACAUCUCGGCCACCAACGGCCUCCUUCAAACGCGCGGGCCAAUUUGGCUGAGAAUGGCUGAGAAAGAGGACAAGAUGCCGUCGCGGUGCCUCGCCGCUGCCGCCGCCCCACGCGCUCGAGCGAAAAAGAGAAGAAAAAACCGGUGCGGGGCCUCGCCGCCGCCCCAGCCGCACGCGAUCGGGCAGAGAAAAGGAGAGGAAGAAGCCGGUGUGGGGCUUGCUUUCUAAAUCAAAUGCAAGAACUGAAGGCAUAAACUCCCAAACCAAUCUGGUUUGGUUACAAAAGACGUUCAAGUUGUGAACAUUUGAAAAUACAACCAAAUCCUAGAUCUGACUUGGUUACAAAAGAAUCUGGUUUGGUUACAAUAUAUGUUCAAAACGAGGCCCCAUUUGCAAUGUGGGGUGUUGUAAGACAAGUAUAAAUUCCUCUAAAUUCACAAGACUGGCAAGUGCUCCUCUGAAAUAGAGCCAUUGAACUGGGUAACCUAUAUACACUCUACUGAGUUUGCUGAGCAUACCAAUUUCCAGAGGGAUAAUCCCACAAGCUUAUUAGCAGAAGCUGAAGAAUGCUCAGAUUAGUCCAUGAUUUUUUUUUUAGGGUCAACGGGGGGAGAUCCCCACCUGAUUUCAUUAGGACCUUGAGCAGGCCAAAGGUCUUGUACACUGAUGUUUUAGCAGAGAAAAACUAGGGAUAGGGGGGAAAAUUUACAUUCUUAUGUGGGAUUACAUGGAAUUAAACAUUGAGCACCAGACGUCGGCUACCAGACGGUCUUCCCGUGAGAAUCGCCGGCUCCAGAGACGGGCUUCGUCCCUGCAGCUGAGCUAGAAAGUUGAGUGGCAUGGUUGUAUGUGUUGGAACACCAGGUCGUUGCGUUGCUUCCAGAGCAUCCAACUGACGAGCAGCAGUAGCGUGUAGAACUGACGGCUCGGUACCAUUGCCGGACGACCUACAGUCCACAGGGACUUAACUGAAGCCCCUUCGAUUUGGAAGCCCAUUGCUCUCCAGACAUGCGACGAGAAACCGCACCAGAAGAUGAUGUGAUCACAGUCCUCCGUGUGCCCACAGAGCUCGCAAGAGGAGUUGUCGAUGAUGUUUUUUCGUACAAGGUUUGCUCGGCUCUGAAUCCGUUCCUGCACUAAUAGCCACCCAAAGAACUGUACAUGCGGGGGUGCGCGAUUUCGCCAGACGAACUGAGCGAAGUUAGCUUGCGCUGAACCUGUUGCAAUCUUGAGCUUUGAAUAGGCGUCGGCAGAUGACAGUUGACGGUGAUCUCGGCUGCUUGGGUAAAGCCGCUGGUCUUCCUCUGCACUUAGGGAGACCUGAGCCAGCAGUUGAGAUAUCUUAACAAGUUCAGAUUCAGCCUGGAGCGACAGCCGCGCAGUGAGGUGGGUUGUCAGGCCAUCGUUCCGAACUUGUGCCACUGUUUCAUUCUGGUUGACCGAGUGAGUGUGGAGUUUCGGAAACAUGUCACUGAGACGGCCUUCGCUUAGCCAGCGAUCGUGCUAGAAAUUGGUGUUCCUUCCAUUUGACACAGCAGAGCAAGACAGAGACUGGUAUACUGGAAGUAGUUCUUGCAUUCCUUUCCAAUGUGGGCCACUGAUAUCCCCACUUAGGUCGUGCAGCUGAACGAGCCCUCGCACCCAACGUGCCCAGGAGGAGCCAUUCGGGUGGUGGAGGCGGUGAAGUAGCUUGAGAAGCAGACUUCUGUUUUGCAUUGCCAGGUCUUUCAGCCCCAGCCCACCGUGUUCCUUGGACUGGCAAGUUCGCUCCCACGCAACUAGGCAUUGAGCGCCAGAGACCGUGUCCUCACCAGACCAUAAGAAACGUCUUCGUCGGCUAUCCAGUGCAGCAAUCGUGCCAGGAGGGAGCAGCAGUACUGACAUGGCGUAUGUAAAGCUACUAUCAACCACACUGUUGAUGAGAACAGCUCUGCCCGUUGCAUUCAGUAAAGAGGCUUUCCAACCGCUGAGCUGCCUGUCAACCCGAGCUAUCAGGGGACUGAACGCCGAGAGUUUGAGCUUUUCAUGGGACAAAGGUAACCCCAAGUAGGUCUGGGGGAAAGUAUCAAGCUUACAUCCAAGAAUUUCCUGGAAUUCUGCUGCUGAGGAGGGUGGCACAUGCAUGGGGACCAUAGUACUUUUGUGGUAGUUUAUUUGCAAACCUGUUGCUGCUGAGAAUCGGUCCAGGACCUGCUUGAGCGCGGUGAGUCCACCCUGAUCAGCUUUGAGCAGCAGCAAGGUGUCGUCAGCAUACUGCAACGCCGGGUAUGGUUGGUUCGUUGCAGCUGGGUGUGAGAUCCUUGUGUCUGCCUGGACCAUUUGCUGUAGAACAUCGGCCACCAGCAGGAAAAGAUAUGGGGAAAGAGGAUCCCCUUGCCGGAGGCCCCUCCCACAAGCAAACCACGGUCCUGACACUCCAUUCACCAGUACUGAGAGCUUCGAGGUCCUGGCACUCCGUUAGUCCAUGAUUUAUCCAGUAUGGAGUUUCCGCACUGAAUUUUCUGUGACACACUACUGGGGAAAUAAAUAUGGUGCAUGUCAUUCUGCUGUAAAGAGAAAUGUUUAAUGACCAUGGCAAAUAAACUAAUCACAGAAAAUGCAUCUCAAUAGGUAGCAGUAUUUUUGCAAUUCUGUAGCUCUAACAGCACUGGAGGUUUACGGAGCUUACCUUGAAUACAUUACCAGGAAGUAUCAUAGAGUUCAGUUCUUGAAGGGUUUAAUAAAAUUGAUCAACCACAAAAACAUAAUGCUGUACUUGAUUCAAACAGUAAACUGCGCUGCAGUAGCAUCAAAGUCUAUUGUGGAUAGAGCAAUACUGAGUCAAACAAAUUAAUGCACAACUUAUAACACAUACAACGCUUGUUAAUGCACAAGUAUAAAAAAGUGAAAUUACUAGGUCCGAAGAUUGACCUGUCUUAGGUCUUCAAUACUACGGAUGCAGACGAGGGGUUGUAGGCCACAAGUUCCAGCAAAAAUCGAAUUUUGGUUCCAGCCAUCUCAUACUAUAAUCUGUUUUGCAGAAAACCCGCAGGUCACAUUCAGCACACAAUGGCAAAGAACAAGGGGAAGAAAUGUAGAGAUGUGUCUUCUAAAUUGCCGAGAGUGAGUCAUUUAACUCCUACCAGUCAGCUCCUUUGGUUUUUGUCAUCAUUUGUUAGUUGCGUGACUGCAAUGGUUUACUUGCAAACAGAAUAUGGUAACCCUUCGGCUAGAUGGAAGUGAGGAAGAAUUUGGCAGCAGAUACUACAACUGUCAGCUUUAUUACCGCUACUGGAUACUUUGCCACUCAGCAUUCCGUGUGCAGUAUGGUGCCAGACUCAUGUAUACUACACCGGAAGCAGGAACAUUCUUUUAUGUGGUGCAGUACGAGCAACACUAUGUAACCUUGGUCAUUGAUGCCCGACAGGGCUGGCUGCUUGGCUUCAUGAACGCCCAAGGUGUAUUUCAGAUGCAGCUUGAGGAUACGGCAGAUCUUUACAUGGACACAGUGAACUGUCAGCUGCUUGAUUUUGUGGGAAACCACUCUCAGAUCUCCCCCAGUGCACCAGAAACACAUGGAUCAGCUUGCGCUGGCUGAGGCGCUGUGUCAUGAGGUGGGAGUCGAGGAGGAGAAACAGCACGGUGGCUGUGGCCCAGCCGCCCCGCAGGAAGCGGCAACGGGCCGCCGCCAGGGGUCGGAGCCGCCGAGCAGCGCCUCCAGCCGCCGCAGCGCGUCCCGUCGUGCCGUGGGUCGCGCGCAUACACCGUCAUCGCACCCCGCUGCCGCCUUGGGCCACUGGUGUCGCCUCCGCUCAUCGGGACAGCACGCCCCGCCCGCAUGCGCAGGUGGAUUUAUACAUCGAGUGGAUCUGCCGGCAGGUGUUCGAAUCCGUGGGCACAACCCCAAAAACUGCUGCUUUUUUUUUGACACGUUGAAACGGACUUACUCACAAAAUGAACACAACGGCGCGGCGUCGUCAUCCACGACGUCAGCUGCCGCGAUCGACCUCGUCCACGACGUCAGCUGCGCGGUCGGCGGCGGUCCUGGUCGUGGUCGGCGGAGUCGUGGCUCCUCACGACAGGACAGCAUAGACAUUAUUAUUACGCUGUAUCCCUAGAAAAAUCAAAACGAUCUACAAUUUGAAACGGAUGAAGUAUUUUUAGAGUAGUAAUAUCUAAUCUAAGUUAAAAAAAGAAAAAAAGUCUACAAUCAGCUUGGGUUUACUCUAGUCUCGGUCCACAGCUCUAUGAAUUCCCAACUUAUUGCAUGUAGUUUUAUGACCAUGCAAAGCAGCAACAAGUGGAAAAUAAAUUCAGAAGCAAAUAUCAGAUCGUCAGAUCCAAGAUAUCAUAACAUAGACCACCAUUAUAUUUAUUUAACAUCUACUAAUAUAUAUCCAAUAUAUAUCCGUAGUUGACGGUUGCAUCCAUCAACGGAAUAAUUACAUGAUCGUACCAAUAAGUACAAUUCCCCUCUACCUAAAUAAGGUUAUUAUCCUAAGAGCAAUUUAAAACUAACAAGACUGUACCCACUACCCCUAGUGCUAACGUUGACGCAAACCAUCCAUGCUCCGAUCCUCUUGGUAGUUGCUACUGCUAUGACAUAUAUUACCUGAAGACAAAACGAAAAGGAUAUUAGGUGGCGAUUACAACACAAAUUGCAACAAAUCAUUCAGAAUAAGGUGUGUCAAAGAACAUAAAUCACCUAAUUGGUGACGCUGGAGGAUUGGCAGGCACCAGCGCCGCCAUUGGUGGCAUUAUCGGCGGCACUUGUUGCGCUGUCAAAACAUAUCACACCAUGCUGUUGUCAAUCUCCUUGCAGGCAUAUCUGAUCCACGGAUCAAAAUAACGUUCGGAUGACAUAUGCAUGAAGAAAAAAGUUGCAAAAAACUUACUGUUGCAGGAGAAGAGUGUUUGGAGCGGCAGCAUGGCACCGCAGGUGAGCGGGAGGAUGAUCAUGCGGACGGGGUCGAUGGGCAGGGGCAUGAGGUCGUUCAUGUCGCCAGUCAUGCCGUGGCAGAGGCAGAUGGGGGCGUCGCGGAUGACUGACUUGAGGCCGUCGCAGCACUCAGCGGGAGGCGCCAGCACGCUAAGGUUGGUCAGGUAGUUCAUGCACGGCAUCAUGCCGAUCAGCGACGUCAUGCACUCUGUCAGCUGAGCCGGCGGCGACGGUGGCGGCGGGGACGAAAGGUGGGGUGGGACGGCGCCGCCGGACGAACUCGGCGACUGCGGCGGGGUGUUGUGGAACGUCGAGGGGUGGAGCAGUUGGUCUCCCCUGAUUCUCGCUUCGGACGGCUGCACCGUCGUCGCUGCCACCACGGCGAAGGCGAAGAAGAGGGCGACGAGCUUGCAGGAUGCCAUUGGUCUUUUGCCUUGGGCGUGUGCUUGGGAUGCUAUGGCCGUGGGCUUGUGGCUGAUUUCGUGUUGGAUGGAUGGAGGCGCGGGUUGGUGUGAAAUUUAUAGUCCUCCUGGUGUCGAGAUUGAGGAUUUGACCGUGCUGUUGUAUGAAUUUUGGACUUCAGUACUGCUGCUUCUAAACUCUGCAUUGGUCGUUUAUCUUCAGGUAGGCAACGAGUCCAUGAAGCAUAAGGUUCUAUCUGUAGUUUCUUGUGCCUCUACGGGUGAUGCAAAAGGAGGUACAGAGUGCAAACAAUCCCGUCGAGUGCAAACAAUCCCGUCGAGAAGGCGACGGUGUCGCCUGAAGCUUGAGCGGGCCGCACAGGGAGGUGGAAGCUUGAGCGGGCCUCGCACGGAGGAGGUGGAAGCAGUCCCGAUCAGGAGGAGGGUUUGAAGCAGGCUGCGAAAGCGCGCCUAGCGGGCCAAGCGAGAAGGUUUGGCUGGCCUGCCUCAGUUUCAUACUGGGCCUUAAGCUUUUGCUAUCGGUUCAUUAUUUUAUUACAGCUCGAAUGCUCCAUCAAAUUAUUGCGGGAAUGACUCUAUUUGCGUGAAUGACUUUACUAGGAUGAUGGUUGGCGCGCUAACGCCGCGCCCGUAGAGAAGCCGCGUAUGAUCUGUGUUGUCAGCAUUAGUGUAGACAUUAUGCCUUAAUAGUUGUAUUUGAGUGUAGCUUUUAAAGGUCCAGCUAUGAACAAUGCAGAAGGUAUGAAUCGUAGUUUAUAAGUUAUAACCAUAAAUUUGGCAGCAUAACUAAUUAUUCAGAUUGCCAAAGACUAUGUGUCGAUUUGCAAGAACAAUCGACUAUAGCAUUGCACAUACACAAAAUGUAAUACAUAACAGUAGCAUCCGUGUAGGCAAGCCAAAGAUCAACAAUGCUUAGAAAAGAUAGGCAACGGCUUGCCCCUGCGGCGCCAGCAGCGAGCGCGCGCGGGUGUUGCGGCCUCCAGUGGUGGUGGCGUCACAGCACGUGGGGUGGUCUGCGGCGGCGGCGUACGCUGUGGCUGUGGCCGCGCGCGCUUCGUGGGGGCCGGCGCCAGGACUUGCUGCCGCUCCCUUCCACUCCCCCUCGCUACCACCGGAGGGGGCGAUGCUGCUAGCGACUUCGGCAGUGGUCGGCGGCCCUGGUCCGGCACGCGCACACCGGAUCCACUCUGGAGGGCGCAGUCCAAGGUGCGGCGGUGCUCGGCUCGCGACGUUCGAGUCGAGUUGCGAUGGGGUGGCUGAAGCAGGGGGAGUGGGGCCGCCAGUAUGAGGAGAUGCGGAGGAGGCACCAGAGGAGGAGACGCGGAGGAGGUGCAGAGACCGGCAGCAGCUUGUGGAGAAUAGCGACGCGAAGGAUGGCGGCACGGAGAUGCCACCGGCGCGGAGGAGGUGCUGCGCGCAGGCCGCACGCGGGGUAGCGCAGGGCGCGGUGCGUGGAGGAUGAUUGCCGGCGAGCGAGCGGACGUGGAGGUUUGGCGGCGUGGUGCGAGGAGGCGCGGCGCCGCCGCCGCUCUAGAUGAAUUGUUGUGACUAUAGCUGGGAGUGCCGAGCCGUGAGCGUGCAGGGGUUGGGAUGCUCCAAGCGAAAGCCCUUGUCGGCCUUCUUGCUGGUGGAGAUGAUGGUGGCACCCUAGGGUGUCGUUUUCCCCGUUGGGGGCAUCAUUUCUGAGCUACAACCCUGCUGCACAGGGUCCUCUGGGUGAAAACCCUGUCCAAUUUAUGGACGAGCGACGGCGGCGCUAUUGGCACCGUGCUCUCCUUGGAGGCGUCGUCUCUAGAUACCCAUCUCGGUCUGUGGCAUUCCUGGUUCAUUAGUCAUGGACGACCGCAGCUGGUGGCAACAAUUCCGCCGUGUGGCAAGUUGGAUGGGUGUUGCUAAGGCCACGUGGAGGCGAUCGCAGUUAUGGUAGCGGCAAGAGGUUGUCGCAUGGCUGUCGGUCUUGGCCGCUUGUAGCGGACCACGGUGGCUGGCGUUGCUUGGCAACGGUCAGUGCGGCGUGGGAUUGCGUCGGAGGAUGGCGCUUGCGGCAACAACAUCGUGGGACAACUAGGCAUGCAGCGGACCGCGGCGGGGUGCUCAGCUUGGCUGGGCUACUUGGUACGGUACAUUGUCGAAAGAUGGCGCAAGCGACUUCUUUGGCUUGCUUACAUGGCGGUGGAUGCUUUUGCAUGUACGAAGCAACGAGGCGAGGUCGACCUGAAGCGCCGGCUUGGCUAAUUGACGGAGAUCUUGUGGAGGAGGGCAAUAUUGCUCACCACGCUGACAACGAUAAAAAACCCGGAUCCGGGACGUUGAGUACUACGGCGGGUGUGGCGAGGCCCUCGCACGUGGCGUUUCUUCGAGGCGAUGAGAGUGAGGUGGAGUCCAACGGCGGAUGUGGCGAGGCCCCCACGCGUCGUGUUAUCGCGGUGGCGACUGCAAGGCAGCCUGCGAGAGGUCCGGAUUCGAUGGUAUCACUAUGCCAGGUGGAGUGUCGUGUUGCAGCGGCACUACAGCGAAGGAUCCCGCAUGGUGGUGGCCUUCUCGACGCGGUGCAGCCUGCUUCUAUCGGUUCCCUGUCGACGUCGGGCCACGUUUGGAAGUUUUGACGAAUUAUGAGCAGGGAUGUUGGUAGGUGCCGCUGUGGCGAGUGGAGUGAUGAUGCCGCGUUGAUGUCCCAAUCCAACCGGUUGGGGGUAGUAGUUUUUGAGUUGAGUGGCUACCCGCGUUGAUGUUCCAAUCCAACCGUGCGAGUUCAUUUUCUUUUCUUUUCAUUUUUCGUAUCCAGCCUGGAACUCCUUCUUUUUAAUAUAAUCGACAGCUCUCCUACCUGGUUCGUUUAAAAAAAAAUUGAAACCAAGUCGGAUAUUGAUCUAAAAAGAUUUUUCCUAAGAUAAAAGGGGACUCUGGAGUCGGGAUAGGCAAAAGAAGCUUGCAGGAAACCCUUUCCUACCUAAAGCCGAAUCGAAUGGUUGAAGGAUAGAAAUGAGAUGUCUGCUGUCAUAAAACAUAACAUGUUGAGAACUUAGCAGCGUAUGAAGCAUCAGGCUGACAAGAAAAGAUAGGAAAGAACAUUUGAAGUGGGUGACUGGGUGUAUGUCAAGUUACAAUCUUAUGUCCAUAUGUUAGUAGCCAAGAGAUCAAACCAAAAACUGAGUUAAGUUCUUUAGAUCCUACCUGAUAACAUAGAAAGUGGAGCGUGUAGCAUACAAACUGCAAUUACCUAACACAAGCCAUAUUCACCCAGUCAUAUCUGUAUCACACCUGAAGAAAGCUCUACCUCCUAGUACCAGGGUGAGCAAUGAUGCUAAUCUCAAUUGUAUCCUUCAAACAACUGUAUGCCAUCCUGUGCAGGUUGUUCAGAGUUGACUCCAGAAGGUGGGUAACAAGAUGAUUCCAUUCCUUUCGGACUGGUGCAAUGGCAAGAAUUGCCUCCAACCUAGGCUACUUGGGAGAAUCUGCACGCCUUGAAGGUAAGCUUCCCUUCCAUUGAUGAUAGCACUGUGGGGUGAUAGUCGUUGCUUAACAAGUUCCAUUGAUGCCUGGUGUUCUGAUUCUAUUCGAGAGUUUUCAACUUGAGAACAAGUUGCUUCUUAACAGGGGGAACGUUACCGUCUACUGUUUAUGGGCCCAAGGCCAUGCAAUAGCAAGAGCCGGCCUGCGUGCCGUAGCUGGGCCUCCGGUCCUGUAACCCGUUAACGGCCCAUGGGCUGCCGGUAAAGACCCAGAGCUCGAGAACGAAGCGUAACGAAGAACAGAAACCUAAACUAUCUGUCCCGUCUUCUCUCCCCUUUCGACCCUGCUCGAGGCGGCGCCGCCGAACUCACCGCCGUGCGCGACGCCGGCAACCCCCUCCUCGCUACCUAGGCUCGUGACAGUCCGUAGACUUACAAGAAGGCAAUAUACACCCCGUCGUGUACCAAAAAGAAAAAGAAAAAAAAAUACGGACGGGUUUGGCCGUUUGGGCUGCUUUUGCCCAUGUCGGCCUUGGCCCAUUCCAACAGACUGAUUGGUUUGGAGACCGCUGCUUCGCCUCCGUCUGAAGAAACCCUAGCGCCCGCCGCCUCCAAAUCUCUCCGACUCUUCUAUAUAAACUGACCUCCCGGUGAUGCCCCAGGUACCCGCAGCCCUAAACCCUAGCCGCCAUCGAUCGCACCGAGCUCGCUUUGUUCUCUUCCGGCGUGUUAAUCUCGUCUCUUCUCGAUUUUGCUUUCUUUCGCGCUGCGAUGGACUCUUUGCGUGGGCUGAUGAUGAUUUGGAUCCGAAAGGAUCUUAGCGGAUUUCGGUGAGGCGGAUUCAUCCGCCGUUGAUCGUUUUCAUGUUGUUACACACACUGAAGCCCUGUUGUCCCGUCGCGCAGAUCGAUUUGUUUCUCUUCUUGCCCGUUGUUUUUUGUUUCUUUUUGUUCGAUUUUAUUGACGUUGGGCAAAAGGAUCUCUGUUUUUACCGCUCUCUGAGAAAAAAAAAGAAAUCCGCUGGGCAAUGCGAUGAUGAGUUCAUAAAAGGUUGAGGCAGUGGUGGCCUUUUAGGUCACCGUGAGCCGGCAAACCAAAAAACGACUUCUCUUUCCACUGAGCAUUGUGUUCAUCGGCACAUCCCUUCGUUUGUUCUUCCUUGCAAUACAAUUUUUUUUCCUAUUCUGAUGGCGGCUGAUGCAUUUGGAUAUCGGUCCCCAUCGGUAAUCCAAACAAUUGCAAGCUCUGUAUCGACGUGGUUAGAGAAUAACGGCGAAGGAUUUGAAGGACGAAGCAAAAGUUAACGCAAAUCCUCAAUUUUUAAGGAGAAUGCCACACCAAUUCUAAAGUAAAAAAUGGGCUAACUAUUUUAACGAAAAUUCCGGGUUCAUUGGUUUAAUUUAACAAAAUUUCCAGGUUCUGUUGCUACUUGUCGAAUAGUUCGCAACUAGCCAACAAAAUCAAAAUAAUAUUCAAGUUAGCAAAAUUUACAUAUUCUACUGCCACUGCUCGUACACAGCAUUUAUUUAGUUGAAUGCAUAGCAGAUUUCUUGUCUGCCGCAUGAAAGCAAAUUUGCAUCAACAAAACGGAUUAUUGGCACUGCCGCACUGGCACGGCAAUUUCAAUUUCAACAGGAUAUGCUCAAGAGUUAAGCUGACAGAUGGCUACGUUGACAGAACAUGCUCAAAGAGAAGCUUGUUGUAAUCACAAGCGCAAUCAGAUUCCAAAGGCUGCUUCUGCGAAGAGCUUUAUUUGCAAGAACUCUUGGAACUCCCACUGAACAUUUUCUGAUUGCAACAAAAGCAAAAUGAAAUCCUCUGAGCACAACACCAUUUAUGUUCUGCCAAUACGCAGAUAGUUUUGAUUUCAGAAAAUAAAGUUUGCAAUUUGACAGGAAAACAAAGUUUGCAACUUCACAGCUUUUUCUACAUGUUGAGCGGCAUCCACUCCAUUUCCAGCUCUAGUUCCCCGGACUCCGUGUGCUGCAGUUUCAGCGAUACCCCUUGCUUCACCUUGCCACCGGCGACCACCACGGCGCUGUCCCUGACGAGCGCGUUGUCCUCAGACUUGAGCCACCGGCCGAUCUGCAUGUCGCCCAGCAGCUCCGGAUUACCGAACGCAGCAGCGGCGUUGAUCAUCGUCUGCAGGUCAAUCUCGGCCUCACCCAUGAGAUCAUCCUUGGACAUCAUGUCGUGAUCGAACACUUGCUGUUUGCAUUGUUGUGUUGUGGGAGAGUAAAGGAGAAUAACAUUGGUUAUUUGAUGAGGCAUUCUCAAACUCAGGUGCAUCAAAAACAUCAAAAUCCAGAUAGCAUUAUCAGAUUCAUGUUAAUUACCAGCUUCAGAGGUCCAUAUUCCCGAGGAACAGAGAGCUUCAGUUCUUCAUUCCAGACAGGAUUCAGGUUGCCUUUGAUUACAGAAGAUUGUACUUUCUGCACUCAACAAGGGCGUGCUGAAAUUUGACAACAAAGAAUACUUGUUUAUUCUGUUAGAAAUAUGACAAACGGACCAAAAUUACCUGAUGCCCAAGCGUCAGGACCACAUAUGGGUCACUACUUGACAUGUCCCUGAUGGCUAGGUUGGUGCCUCCUAUCACCUUGACAUUCAAUAUUCCGAUGAAUUCAAUCAUGCCGAUCUGCAAUUUUUUUUUUUAAAAAAGAAUUACAGAACACGCUAAAUACUGAAUAAGAAAGUGAACGUCUUGUAAUAAAUGUUAGGUUCUGUGACAGCUUACUUCACUCUUGGAACCAUCAGAAUGGGAGGCACUGCCUGCAUGCUUUCCACAGUCAUCACUAGUAUGAUGAGAGACAAUCCGCAGGCUUGGCUUCAGAAAUUCCUGCAGCUCAUAUUUUGACCUGAAACAUUGGGAAUGUAUGCAUCGGUAGUAGUGACUAUGACAGUAACAAUAUGGAGCUCGUUAGUACGCUACACUCUUGAAUCGAAAUGCCUUCCGAAGAUCAAGUUUGUAAAGCAAAUAACAAUCCUCAAACAGCUUGCUGAAGUUUCUUGUGCUCAUUGAUAAAGAAAAAUCAUUUCCAAAUAAUUACAUACCUGAUGAACUUUUCUCUCUCUUCCUGGCUAGAAUCUGGAUGUGGCUUCUGGUAGCCCUCUGGCAGAAAAGCCUCAUAUAUUGCAUUGGCAUUUGAAUUCCCACCAACUUCUAUCAUUGACUCAACUUCAUUGUCAGUCCACUUAUCUAGUGUUACUGACAGAACCUGUGCCAGAAAAAUAACAGGUUAAUUGUGAUAUUAUGGCUUAAUUGCAAUAUUUCCAUAUAUGAACUAAUACUAAGAGUUAUUUAUAUAGUUACAACUUACAAAUAUUUGCAUUGCUACUAGAAGGCUAGUAAGCUAGGGGGAAAAACCUUCUGGUACGAUUGUAAUUUCAAAAAAUAGAAACAAAAAGGAAGCGUGUAAAGUUAUCUAGGUUGCAAGUAGGGAAACCUUUGAAAUAUGUGUACCAAGACUUCUGUGGACGCCAGAACAUUUUACACAAAUGAAUACCCCAAUAUUGGCUGAUCUGCAAGGAGAAAACCCAUUUACUUUUGUGAGGGUUGUGUUUCACAAAAGCUAGAAGCAAAUGAUUCUGCAUAUUGCAUACAAACCUGAUCAUGUUGAAAACGAAAAGGGUGUGAAACAGACAAAUACACUUCAGAUUUAUAAUGAAAUAUUCUAUUCCUAAAAAAUAUUGCGGGGUUAUGAAUAACGAGUUAUUUCAUUAUAUAUUCCGCUGAUAUGUCAUCUACACAAGCACUAACAGAGCCCAAGAAGGGGAUAUUCAAGCUCAACCAAAUCACUCAGAGGGUGAUUCAAGGUCAUGCAAAUACUUACGCCCAUUUGGGAUCAGGCACGCUGCAAUCAGCACAAAUGCGAUUUUCACUUCUGUGCAAUAACUCCUUCAGCUUUGCCAUCAUAGCUGCAAGGCAAAGAUGCAAUUGAAUCCAUAGUGCAAUACACACGGCUGCUUUGAACUUACUUUAAACAAUACUUCAGAGAGAACCAGUGUGUUACUAUACAUAUGCUGCAGAAUGACCAAGAUCAGAAAGCCCUCAGAGAAAAUUAUGUAUUUAUAUUUUUGGUUGGACAUGUGUGUGUCGUCACUAAUGCAAAUGUCAUUUGUCAAGCAUUUCCUUGUGACGCUGGAAUUUCCAGCUUGCUCCUUUAAAGCAGUAGCAAGAAGAGAAGGCCAUUUGCAGUAUACCUGAGGCCCCUGUGUCGCCAUGUCCUGCACUCAUCUUCUUGCUGUCACCUGUCAGAAAGGCCAGCUCCAAAUGCGUCAAACUGUAGUGAUCCUGCAAAGAUAAGGCAACAAAUCAACAAUAGCUUGAAGUGUCUCUGAGAAAUUCAUACGAAUACAAAAAUGCAAAGGAAACAAUCAUCUGAACUCUCAAGAACACCAUUGAGCGGAAUUACUGAUAUCGUAGGAUCCUUAUUCCUAUCCAGUAUCCACACUUGAGUGAUCCUCAUCUCAACUCGAAUGCGCUUCUCAAUGCAUAAAUUUUCCAAAGAAAUUGGAAUGAAGCGCAGGUGCCAACCGAAUCUCUCGGAGAGGAAUCACAAUUCGGCAAAGCAUCCCACCUACUACUCAUGCGCUUCUUGGGGCCGGUUGCACCAGAGAUCCAGAACCGAAGAAGAAACGGCAGGAUUGCUUACCCUGAGAGAGAGGCCGGAUCAGCUCCGAUAGUCCGAUUCCUUCCGACCUUCCGCCUCCUGGCCUUGAGGUCGAGGGGUUGGGGCUGCAGCGCUGAGAUCUCCCUCCUACUAUCGCAAGAACAGGUGGUCCACGUGGCUUGGUCGGCCGUUCACACGUGCGCCACUGUGGAUAGCAGCCAGAUCCCGGCUUAAUGAGAGGCUGAUGAGUAGGCCCCAGCUGCAGGCUUUCGCGUUUUCUAGCCAACUUGUCGUUCUUGCUUUCCUGGUAACGGUACAAUGAUUUUUCCUUUCAGCCGUCCGAUUGGGAAACAACGCAGGGAGGGUGCUCCCCACCUCCAUGUCACGAUGUGUGAUCGAUCAUCUAUGGUACAAUUGAAGUGUGAGGAUGCAGAAAUGGAAGAAUAACUGGCAAAGCAAAUGUAAUCAUUUCAGAAUUUACCAAAGGAACAAACCAUAAUCUAACUCUCAGAUAAUUAGAGAAAAUCGAGCAAAAACCUCCUCCGAUGACGCAGAACCUAAUCAGGAUAUCAAAACAUACCCCCUUGAUUUCAAAAAAAAAAGUUUAUCCUAAAAAAUUAACAGAGGUGUGAAAUGAUUUUGAUUGUCCUACUUUAACGAUAUUUGAUGCUAAUUGAAUGCCACAUGUGAGUGUACAUGCUAAAUAGACAACAAUAAUAAUAUGUUCUGGGACAAAUUUUGAAUGCAGUGACUUGUUUUGUUUUGGUACAGAGGGACUCCAAUUUGUUAUAACCUAAAGCUUCCACAGUAUUUUCUCUAAGCAUGGACAAAAGCUGCAAGCGGGAGACUAAUCACGCAGAUUGUCAUUCGGAGGUCGGACAUUGCCAUGAGACAUCAGACAUCAGUGGUCUGCUUUCAUUUUGGUGAGUAGAGAAAAGAGAAGAGAUCAAGAAUCGAUCAACUCAUCAAAUGACGUGUUGAUGAGCAAACGAGAGAGCGCCCACCAUGCUGAUUGUUUAUUUUUCGUUUAUGAAAAUACUUCCUCCGUAUCAAAAUAUUUAUUGCUCUUAACUUUUCUCGUAAUAUUUAAGCAUUCAUCUUAUUUAAAGAUUUAUUAUGAAUGUACGAAAAACAUAAGUUACGCUUAAAAUAACUUUGAUGAUAAAGCAAGUCACAAAGUAAAUAAAUGAUACUUACAUAUUUUUUAAUAAGAUGAAUGGUCAAAAGUCAUGAUCAAAAGUUAACGGCGACAAAUAUUUUGAUACCGAGAUAGUAUAUAGCAUCAGUGCACUUAUUUUUGGUUCACCGGCGAAAAUCCAGAAACUCUCAAAAUUCAGUGAAAUUUCGCAGAUCGAAUGCAAUGCCACUUGCCAAGUGUCGUCGACACAUACCCAAAACUUGCACAAUUUGGUAUGCACAAGACACCAAAUUUAGCAGCAACAUAUUCGAAUCGCCUGCACUCUCUCCACCUUUCCGAAUUCAGAAAGGCACCCAAAGAUAUUAUGGCCUUGUUUGGCAUGGCUCCAGCUCUGGGUGGAGCUGCUCUACUCCAAAACUCCAGGUAGAGUCAGCUCCACUCCAAAACUCCAGAAAUAAAAUGGUGUGUUUGGCUAGAUGGGUACUCUCAGCUCCAAAAAAAAAUCAAUUUCAAUGUUAAUUGCCAUUGUUGCCCCCAAUUCAGGCCCUACUUGUCAUCCUCUCCCCCUCCUUUCUUCCUCCUUUCCUUUUCCUCUCUCUGCCGUUGCCCACUGGUCACCCGAAGGAAGAGGAGGGGAAGGCACCAGCAGGUGGGUGGUGCUGCCGGCGGCGGGAGGUGCGGCCGGUGGCGGGGCUAGCGCGGGCGGCGGGGGGUGCGGCCGGCGGCGGGGCUCGGGCGGCGGCGGGGGCGGCUGGCGGCGGGGGGUGCGACCGGUGGCGGGGCACAAGCGGGCGGCGGUGGGGGCGGCCGCCGGCGGGGCUCGGGCGGGCGGCGGGGGGUGCGGCCGGCGGCGGGGCUCGGGCGGGCGGCGGGCGGUGCGGCCGGCGGCGAGGGUAGGGCGGGCGGCGGUGGGGUUGGUCGGCGGCGGGGCUCCAAGGCCGGAGCGCGCGGGACGGAGGGGCCACGGCGGCCGGCGGCGGGAGCGACGGGCGGCGCUAGCGCGGUGGAGACCGGUGGAGACGAGCACAUGGAGUCUCGGAGGAAAAUAGAACGAACCGUUUUUUCUAUGUAACCAGUGGCAUUGGUGGGUAAUUAUCCACCAACUCCACGAGGAGGUUGAAAAGAGUGGUUUCUGGAGUAGCAAAAGAGGUACUCCAAAACUCCACCUCCAUUUGCACUACAGCUCCAUGGAGUUGGCAACUCCAUGGAGUUUUGGAGUUAGGGUGUUUGGCUGAAUUUUUUGAUGAAGUUGCUGGAGUUUAGGAGUGGAGCUGUGCCAAACAGGGCCUAUAUAUAGGGCUCAUUUGGUAGGGCUCCGGGAGCGACUUCUCUCGAAACCCUGCUAAAGGGCGCGCGCGUAGCAAAAUGGCUUCGGCUCCGGUGGCAGAGCCCCGCAAAUCGCGCUCUCUGGAGCCCUUUCGGGGAGGCGGAGCCAAAAAAACCGGCUCCCGCGGCUCCUCCUCGGCCGUUUCCCACGCUUGCCCUUGAGGAGGGCCCGCAGGUAGGCCAGGCGACAGGGAGCUGGCCGGCACGGCGACGGGGGACCCGAGGGCCGGGUGGCAACUCAAGGCGGCGCGACGACGGGAUGGCGGUGGAGCUCGGUGUUGGCGGCGAGCUGAGGCGGAGCAACGCCGGGGACCCGAGGGUCGGGCGGUGACGGGGAGCGCGUGAGGGAGAAAGCGGUGGAAGCUAGAGGAGACGAGAAAAAGAUAAGGCAGAUGGAGAUGGGGAACACAAAGGAAAAAGAAAAGGGGAAGGGAAAAAAAGAAAAAAAGAAAAAGGUGAAGGAAAAAAAGAAAAAAAGAAAAGGAGAGAGAAUUCCUUUUCAUUUAUUUUUUUAAUUCAAAUGGACUUAAAUUAUAAUUAUUCGAAGUCAUAAAUGCCAAAUUGUGAUUUUAUUUGUUGCAGGGAAUAUGGGUGGGGGUGCAGACGAAGAAGUCAUACCCGGACUUCGUCGGUUUGUUCGACGCUCUUGUCGACACUGACGUGAGGUGGAGACCCUACACCUUCGAGGAGGUGCAGGCUCGUGCCCCGCAUGGCCUCUCUUCGCUGUGCCAUCGGGAUAUGGAGUAUUGGAGGACGAUGAGGCCACUAGUCUACGACAUCCACGUCGAGGACUAUGCGGUUCACCGUGUGAUGAGGCAGUUCGGCCUGUACCAGCACUCCCCACUUCCGGUUAUGUCUGUUGUCCCGACCGUCGUUCAUAGGUACACCCCCAGCCUUUUGAUUGACCUUGAAAUGUUAAUUUUUCAUUUAUAUAACUUGUGCAACAAUGGUUCCAUUAGGGCUAGCCGUCAGGGUGGUGGUGGUGGUGGGCCUGGAGUCCAAUGGGCUCCGAGGAUGGUUCAGUGGGUCGACAUGUGGAUGACCGCACUAGAUGAGGUGGUGCAGGAGGCCCGUGCACACGACAAUGACGCUUUCACAGCGUACCUUCAGUGGUUCUUAUCGAGGACCAGGACGCGCGUCACGUAUGUUCCGAGGGAACCACCGACGGAGACCACGCCAGUCACGCAGACGUAUUCGCGUUCGAGAGACAUCAACUUGAACUACACGGUAAGCUACUAUAUAUUUUUUACUCAACUUGCAUCAUUUGGUGUGACUAAUUUGAACCAUUUUCUCUCCCCAAAAGUACGACGUUAUUGCUGAGGUAGCCACAAAGCUGACAUACGACAUCGACCACUACGAUGACGUGACUGCUCAUUAGCACCGGACGCUGUACAGGAGGGUCCGGGACACCUGCAGUAGGUUCAUGAGGGCUGUCAGCUGCCAUGGCGGUCACGGGGAUGUCAUACUUCCACCACGGGCGGCCUACCCCUAUUCGUCCUGUCCAACUCCUACUCAGCAGGCAGGUACGUCCUCUCAACCGCCUGUUCGUCCACCACCGGCCGGGACGUCCUACGCCACACCAGCACCACCACCGUCUUGGUAUGCCACACCUGGUCCGUCCACUGUUCCGCAGAACGUCUUGCCGACAGCCACGCAGAUGCAUGCUGGUUAUACUGGAGUGUGCUCCUCGUGGCCCUCUUCAGCUGCACCAGGCACAGAGAUACGUCCAGCAAGUGCGUGAUGAAUACAUUUUUUCUAUUCCUUUUUAAUUACGCAACGGAGCUAACAAAACCAUUUCCUUUGUUGCAUAACAGGGUUCGCAGGCCGCGAAUGGGUUUCGGAGGACUCCAUCGACGAGGGACAGAGGUCCAGCACCCACGCCUGGAUCGACGACCUUUUCCGAGUCGAGCCUGACGUGAUCGGUCCCUCCCAGUUGCCUGACGCCCCGCAUGGUCCUCCACCGGGCGUGACCCAGUAUCUUGCGACACCACCUGCGACGGCACCACCAGAGGCGGCAUCAGGACGACGUCCGACUUGCGACGUUGGCCCGCCGAAGCUGUUGAUGUACGACCAGCAGCAGACCAGAGCAGCGUAGCGGGCAGCGAGGCGUGGUCGUGGUGCCGGUGAGCCUCGUUUCAAGCGAGGACGCAUUUAGUGCGUAGGAUGACUUGUAUCUUUUAUCAUGUGUACGAUUGUGUAACGUACGAUGUGUGCUCAUUCGUGAACUACUCUAUCUAGAUCAGAAGUUUAAUGCUUUUCAAUGAUUUCGUGCAUUCACUAUACAUGUCUAAACAAUUUUGAAAUAAUUAUUAAAACUACAUAAUUGAAAUAAUCGAUCAAAAGGAAGGACAAAUAUGCGGCAAAUAAUGGAGUACAUGACCUAAGGACAACACAAUGAAAGGUCCAACAGUGCACAACAUUAUCCAUGAAUAAACCAUGAAACUAGCCAAUAAUAGAGACUACUGAGUACAACGAGGCCACUUUCCCUUAGGGCAUCGGGAUUCUCCUCGAUCGCUGCUUUCGCUCGGCGUGCACGCUCAAGCUUCCCCACCCUCUCCUCCCUCUCAGCAGCAACACGCCUCCUUUCCUCCUCUUCCUUGUGCUCCUUCUCUGCAACCUUCUCUCUGAGUCUCUUCUCCAUCCUCUCCUUGUUCUCUGCCGCCCACCGCAACAUGUACUGCAUCUCCUCCUUGUCUUCAAGCUUGAUCUCAGUGUCAAUCCACUGCUCAAAAUCACAGAGCAGUGGAGGGGUCUGCAACAAAUGCAAUUGUUACAAAACAAAACAAAAUCAUGCAAGAUGUCAUAUGACACGAAAUAAUUAUUACAGAACAUCAAUUCCUCACCAUCUUGUUAAUGCGGCGCUAACAAAGCAUAGGCUCAAACUGAAAGUUUGAACACAUUCAGUAGCUCUGCCUAUACGUGUCCUCUGCAUCGAACUUAGCUACCUUGCAAGGAUCGUCGCAAAAGCACAUGGGCAGUGGAACACCACUAGGCAGAGGCAAAAGGUCGAAGGCAUUUCCGGUCAACGGAGCACCACUCCACCUUUACCGUUUUCAUUGUAAGAACCGAAAGCAACUAAGGGGCUGUUUGGAUACGAGGUGCUAAACUUUAACAGUGUCACAUCGGAUGUUCGGAUGCUAAUUAGGAGGACUAAACAUGAGCUAAUUAUAAAACUAAUUGCAGAACCUUGUGCUAAUUCGCGAGACGAAUCUAUUGAGCCUAAUUAAUCCAUCAUUAGCAAAUGGUUACUGUAGCACCACAUUGUCAAAUCAUGGACUAAUUAGGCUUAAUAGAUUCGUCUCGCGAAUUAUACUCCAUCUGUGCAAUUAGUUUUGUAAUUAGCUUAUGUUUAGUACUCCUAAUUAGCAUCCAAACAUUCGAUGUGAUAGGUGUUAAACUUUAACGGGUGUUUCCCAAACACCCCCUAACAUGAAACCAUACGACUAGCAUUUAACGUAAUAACGUGCACUGAGAUUACCUUGGUUUCCUAGCUUUUCACGUCUUGGCAUCCUACGGUUGUAUAAUAUAAAUAUUAAAAUUGCAUCAAACUAUACUACGCUAGAAUUACUAUGAACUAAAUACUAAAUCUACUAUACUAACUAAUCUAGAUUUUUGUACAUCUAAAACUACCAGAUAUUUCUAAAUCUACUAUACUACAAGAUUGAAAAACAUACCUGUUGACAAUAGCUUCUUCCCCUUCUUUCCUCUCUUUCUUUCUUUCUUUCCUUCCUUCUUUCGCUUCUUUCUUCUCUUCCUUUCCUUCCUUCUUUCCCUCUAUGGUUCCCCUUGCACUCUCUGUAAACCGAGCGAGCGUGGCGCUUAAAUAGGGCGAACCCACACCAGUUCAUCCGGCGGUAAGGGUCCUUACCGCUGUUUCAACCAACGGGGGUACCUCGAUCCGCGCGCGCACUACUUCGGCGGCAGCGGUAAGGGGGUGAGGGCCUUACCGUUGGUUGAAACGGCGGUAGGGCUCUCCCGCCUACUGAAAUGGCGGUAGGGACCCGCGUAGGGGCUGUCAGACCCCUACCGCCGGUUGAAACGGCGGUAAGGGCCAUACCACCGUUUCAGCCGGCGGUAUAAACCCAUUUUUGCAAAUUUUUUAUUCGACUGUAUAUUUCUGCAAAAUCGAAAAAAAAUAAAAAAAUAAAAAAAAAUUUGGAAGGGAGAAAGGCCGUAAGAGACCGUGGCCCGGGUGGGGGUGGACUGGAUCGGGUCCAACCGAGUUAGGCUCGGCCCAAUGGAAAAGAAUUGGCUAAUAAAUGAACGCGCUUGAUUUUUCCUUUCUAAAAAAGCACGCAUGCUUCUUUGAUCGCCGUGAGAAAUAGCAAGAAAAGUUUGAGAAUGAUUAAAAGUUUGAGCCUGGCAGUGACGGGCGCUGAUCGGAAUCAGAUCAGCUCGUGGCCAAUGAUCUGAAGAACAAGUUCAUGUUCAGCUGCACAGCCAUGACCUACUGAAGAAGAAACCACCACGAAUCUCACCCCCAACUCAUCACCGGGGUAACCGCGCCGGAUAUCCAGAAAUCACCCGCUCGAGCGCGCGGAUCUUGAGGAGCAGCCACCUCGCCCUGACGCUGCUUGUGCUCGGUCGGCGGCGACGCCGGCCAGCAGCCGGGGCAAGAACUCGACAGAAAUAAGGGCCACGUCUGAAGGAGGAAGACAACGAACGAGCACUCACCUACGUAACCACGCUGAAUCGCUGAUCACAUGUUGCAAAAGGUUCCUGUCCCCAGCUCCCCUCGAUUGCCGGUCGAUUCCCGGCGGCGAGGCUCCGAUCCGGCGCCGCCGGCCUGGAAACGUAUGCACGAUGCAUAUCCAUCCAGCCACAAAAUCGACUUGAAAAAUUAAAGGAACGCGACGGAAACAAGAGGAAAUCAUCUGUCUUUAUUCAUAGACAGCUCCACCACCGAUCUGCUACAGCCGACCGAUUGAACAGUAGCAUCCACCCACAAGCCACAAUCCACAAGAUAGAAAGCGAAGCGCAGCAGCAGGCCAGAACCCUCACCCGACGGCGGCGAGCGGGACCACCACUCCCCUAGCGGCGCCAGAGGCAGCGGCAGCGGAGGCGGCGCGCGACGACAUUGGCGACGGCGACGGCGGCGGCCGCGGCAGCGGCGGCGUCGGCGACGGGGUCGAGCGGGUCCCCCC